rnacentral:rRNA from 1 species
AUCGAACGCUGGCGGCAGGCCUAACACAUGCAAGUCGAACGAGUGGCGGACGGGUCAGUAAUGUCUGGGAAACUGCCUGAUGGAGGGGGUUAACUACUGGAACCGGUAGCUGAUACCGCAUACCAUCAGAUGUGCCCAGAUGGGAUUGGCUAGUGGGUGGGGUCACGGCUCACCAAGGCGACGAUCCCUGGCUGGUCUGAGAGGAUGACCGGCGACCCUGGAACUGAGACACGGUCCAGACGCCUACGGGAGGCAGCAGUGGGGAAUAUUGCACAAUGGUGGCAAGCCUGAUGCAGCCAUGCCGCGUGUAUGAAGAAGGCCUUCGGGUUGUAAAGUACUUUCAGCGGGGAGGCGUUACCCGCAGAAGAAGCACCGGCUAACUCCGUGCCAGCAGCCGCGGUAAUAC